AAAAAUUUAAUACAAAUAAAUAGAAUCAAAACAGAUUUACCUAAAAUUUUAAACUCAUUUUCGGAAUAGAAAAAAACCCAAACCCGUCAAAAGGGUAUAAAAUUUUGUUAGUACCCAGCCCCCACCUCUAUUCCUCAGCCUUUACUGUUUAUAGAAAAAAAGGUAGUUAGGAAAAUUUUUAUGGGUUGUUUGGGUUAUUAUAACAGUUACAAUAACUCCCAAAACACACCGUUUAUUUAAAAGGCCCUCUACUGUAAAGACGCGCCGUUUCACUUCAUAUAUUAUAUUAUAUUUAUAACACGGAGCUCCGAUCGGGCACCACCAAAAUACUCCUCCCUCCCUAUUCUCUUCAAAUCUUGGCAUAGAUUUCCCAAAAGACUCAUAAUUCAUGAUAUCAUUCCCACAUUCGAUUUUUUAUUCCAGUCUCCUAAUCCGACCAUUGAUCCAGCCUAAAAUUGAGAUAGGUUGCUCUCCUCCACCCUUUCUCUGUCUUCACCGUUCGGAUUGAUAAACGGAGCUCCGACGCCUAAGUGCUGAGAAACCCGAAAGAUGGGUUCUCUCUUCUCUUUUUUUUUUUAUUUGUUUGAAUACUGACUUGUUUGGUUUGCAAGUGUCACGGUGGAGUUCUCUUUCUUUCUUUCUUUCUUUUUUUAUGUAUUUGUAUUUUGGUUUCCUGUUUGCUAGGUUUGGGUUUUGGGUUGCUGAUGAUCGGUUGGUUCGGCUGUUUGGAGUGGGUUUCAGUUUAGGGGCUCGGUCGUGGUGUUGAUGGUGGCUGGUAUCUGCAAAAUGGUGGUGGUGUCUUGUUGAGGAAAUGAGGGUGAGAGUGCGAGAGAGUGUGUGAGAGCGAGCUAAGAGAGCGGGAGAGGAGCCCCGAUGAUUUGUCAAAGUCGGGGUGGUGAUGGAUGCCAGUAGGGGCACUGUUUUGGUUCGGUGAUGGACUGGUAUGAGUGGUGAGAUUUAGAGUUGGCAGAAACUUGGGAGGUGAGAGGGAUGGCCGGUUGGAGCCGAAAGAGCGGUCGAGAGUGAUGGUAAUGGAAGGAUUCUAGGUAAUCGAGAGGGUGCCCACUUUUCCUUUGUUCUUGGUUGUUUUAUGGAGGAGGAGGAUGAUGGAUUGAUGGAGAUGGGAUAGGGUGUCUACAGGGUGAUUGGUGUGCAGGGCAUGGGGCGGUAGGUUGGCUGAUAGGAGCUGGUUGUUGGUGGCAGUGAUGGAGUGUAGGGACUGAUUUGCAAAAAGAGAGAAACUUAGGGUCAAUUUUGCAAUAUUUUCUUUUUUGGUUUUGUAAUUUUUGUGUAUUUCGUAAUUUAAUAAAAUAUAUAAAAUAUUAAUUAUAUAUAUUAAAAAUUAUAAAAAAAAUUAAACAUUAGUGGGCUAAAACCCAAAACAUUAAAUUAAAAGAAGGUAAACUAUAAAAAUAGUCAUUUUUAUUUAACUCAGAUUAUGUUUUAGUCACUUAUGUUUGAAAUGUUACGUUUUAAUCACUUACGUUAUCGUUUUGUUACGACGUGGUCACUCUACCAUUAAAUUCUGUUACUUCCCUAAUGAUAAUCCUACGUGGUAGUCCAAAUAGCUUUUAAAUGCCAACUUGGAUAUCCAAUUGUUAGGAUGAAUAUAGGUUUUUAAUUAAAUAAAUUUAAUUUGGACUGCCAUGUAGGACAUCUAAAUUGGCAUUUAAAACCCAUUUGGACUACCACGUAGAACUACUGUUAGAGAAGUAAUAGAGCGUAAUGAUAACGUGACCACUUCAUAACAAAAUGAUAACGUAAGUGACCAAAACGAAACAUUUCAAACAUAAGUGACUAAAAUAUAAUUUAAGGUAAAUAAAAGUGACUAUUUUUAUAGUUUACCCUUAAAAGAAAAUUAUAAAAAAAACCCAAACUUAAUUUAAGUUCAAAUCCAAUUUCAAAUAACUGAAAUAAAAUUUUACAAAAAUCCAGUAGGCUCAAAAUUACAUUAUAAAGCAAGUGGAGCCAAACGAAAUUCCAUGGUUUUGAAUUAUCUGUUUAUUUUCUAUAUAAUACUUAAAACUAAUUAUAAUUUCUCUUAACCCAUAAAUUGAAAAAUAAUGCUCUUCAACACAUUCGAACUCACAUCCUCU
rnacentral:lncRNA from 1 species